rnacentral:rRNA from 1 species
UACGUAGGGUGCGAGCGUUGUCCGGAAUUAUUGGGCGUAAAGGGCUCGUAGGCGGUUUGUCGCGUCGGGAGUGAAAUCCAUUGGCUUAACUGGUGGCUUGCUUUCGAUACGGGCAGACUGGAGGUAUGCAGGGGAGAACGGAAUUCCUGGUGUAGCUGGUGAAAUGCGCAGAAUAUCAGGAGGAACACCGAUGGCGAAGGCCAGGUC